AGGAGCAACAACCGCAGUGGCGGGGCCAGCUCUGGAGCCCUGGAGUCAGCCCCCGCAGUAACCACAGAGCUCUCCGUCUGCAGGGCCUGGAGGCUCCGGGGCGGG
rnacentral:pre_miRNA from 1 species